CCUACGGGCGGCAGCAGUGGGGAAUAUUGGACAAUGGGCGAAAGCCUGAUCCAGCCAUGCCGCGUGUGUGAAGAAGGCCUUCGGGUUGUAAAGCACUUUCAGUGGGGAAGAAAGCCUUGGGGCUAAUACCCUCGAGGAAGGACAUCACCCACAGAAGAAGCACCGGCUAACUCCGUGCCAGCAGCCGCGGUAAUACGGAGGGUGCGAGCGUUAAUCGGAAUUACUGGGCGUAAAGCGCGCGUAGGCGGUCUGAUAAGCCGGUUGUGAAAGCCCCGGGCUCAACCUGGGAACGGCAUCCGGAACUGUCAGGCUAGAGGGCAGGAGAGGAAGGUAGAAUUCCCGGUGUAGCGGUGAAAUGCGUAGAGAUCGGGAGGAAUACCAGUGGCGAAGGCGGCCUUCUGGACUGACACUGACGCUGAGGUGCGAAAGCGUGGGUAGCAAACAGGAUUAGAUACCCUAGUAGUC
rnacentral:rRNA from 1 species